GUCUGCAACAGUUUGUCUCUGUCGUGUGGUUAACACAAGUUUUUAGCUGUGACUGUCCUUCCUUGGCCGUACCUGAAGUUGCUGCAUUUUGGCUGCUGUCCGCAGAUUUCCUGAUGAAAUUGAGCACGUAGCUCAACUUGAAUUGCCUUCUUUUGACUGAAGGUACUGCCAAACAACACUUGUUCUUCUCAUGAGUUCCAUUCUCCCUUUCUAACAGCCUACUGCAUUGAACGGUCCACCUACACGAACACCUUCCCGUAAUCCGCGGAGGCGUCAUCACGUCGACCAGCAUUGUGCAAGCCAAGGGUUCGGUUCAGUGGAAAAACAUUCUAAGGUUCAGCAGAAACCAAACCCCGUC